UAAGACGAACCGUGCGAACGUUGUUCGGAAUCACUGGGCAUAAAGGGCGCGUAGGCGGCUUAUCAAGUCAGGGGUGAAAUCCGGCAGCUCAACUGUCGAAGUGCCUUUGAUACUGAUGAGCUCGAGGGAGGUAGGGGUCUGUGGAACUUCCGGUGGAGCGGUGAAAUGCGUUGAUAUCGGAAGGAACGCCGGUGGCGAAAGCGACGGACUGGACCUCUUCUGACGCUGAGGCGCGAAAGCUAGGGGAGCAAACGGGAUUAGAUACCCCGGUAGUCCUAGCCCUAAACGAUGGGUACUAGAUAGUGGACUUAACAUGGGUUCACUGUCGAAGCAAAUGUGUUAAGUACCCCGCCUGGGGAGUAUGGUCGCAAGGCUG
rnacentral:rRNA from 1 species